rnacentral:lncRNA from 1 species
GCCUCUCUUCUUUCUUGUAAAACAUCCAAAUUACCCCUUAAUCCCUCAUCAUUCAAACUUACAUCCUCCAACCUUCUCCUCAAGGUUACUUCUCCCACCUCGACAGGUACCAUGGCGUCCGUCCCAUAAGUUAAAUUGAACGGUGACUCCCCUGUCGCACCAUGUGGCGAACAACGAUAACCCCACAAAACCUGAGGUAACUCGUCCACCCA